GAAGAAGAACAAGGGUUCAAACCCUUGUUCUUGAUAAAUCUUCAAAUUGAAGGGUGGAAUGAGGUCCAAAUUCACAACUGAACAUGAAUUAACGAUCACCUUCACAAGGGGAUCAUAAGGAAUCAUGUCGAGAUGGAUGGAGCGUUGAAGGCUAACGGACUAAGAAGACUCAACCAAGUAAGCGAACGCAAAUACGGACGCGCAAGGUUGUACAGAGCUGUGGAUUCUCAUCAUGGAGUGUAAGCGGUCUAAGAUCGAGUCAAGUCAUGGAUUGUACGUGUGGGCGCGUGGUCACG